UCAAGUUAAAAAGAGCAUAAGGCGGAUGCCUUGGCACUAGGAGCCGAUGAAGGACGUGACAAGCUGCGAUAAGCUGCGGUAAGGAGCAAAUAUCCGUUAUGAACCGCAGAUUUCCGAAUGGGGGAACCCACCUGUAGUAAUGUGCAGGUACAGCUGUGUGAAUAAAAUAGCGCAGUAUGAGGAAACGGGGUGAACUGAAACAUCUAAGUAGCCCCAGGAGAAGAAAGAAACAUCGAUUUCCCAAGUAGCGGCGAGCGAACGGGAAGGAGGCCAAACCGAUAACUUGUUAUCGGGGUUGCGGAUCAUCAGAAAUGAUUCUAAAAGGAUAGUCGAACGGUUUUGGAACAGCCGAGCGAAGAGGGUGAAACUCCCGUAGACGAAAUCCGGAUAGACAUAGAUGACACCAGAGUAGUACCGGACACGUGAAACCCGGUAUGAAGCCGGAGGGCCCACCCUCCAAGCCUAAAUACUACCUAGUGACCGAUAGAGAACAGUACCGUGAGGGAAAGGUGAAAAGGACCCCGGGAGGGGAGUGAAAUAGAACCUGAAACCUUGUGCCUACAAGCACAUAGAGCACAUCAACGUGUGAUAUGGUACUUUUUGUAGAACGGUCCGGCGAGCGAUUGUAUGUUGCGAGCUUAAGGUCUUAAGGACUGGAGGCGUAGCGAGAGCGAGUCUAAACAGGGCGUUUAGUAGCGUGCAAUGGGCCCGAAACCGGGUGACCUACCCAUGAUCAGGCUGAAGUGAAAGUAAAAUUUCAUGGAGGGCCGAACCGACCUCCGUUGAAAAGGCGGCGGAUGAAUUGUGGGUAGCGGAGAAAUUCCAAUCGAACUCGGAGAUAGCUGGUUCUCCCCGAAAUAGCUUUAGGGCUAGCCUCAUGUUAGAUAUCCGGAGGUAAAGCACUGAAUGGCCUAGCGUCCGAGAGGAUAGCGAAGCCUAUCAAACUAAGAAUGCCGGAAUAUUGAUGCAUGGGAGUCAGACAGUGUGAGAUAAAUCUCAUUGUCAAAAGGGAAACAGCCCAGAUCUACAGCUAAGGUCCCAAAUUGUAUCUAAGUGGAAAACGAUGUGGAAAUACGCAGACAACCAGGAUGUUGGCUCAGAAGCAGCCACUCAUUUAAAGAGUGCGUAAUAGCUCACUGGUCGAGCGUCUCUGCGCGGAAAAUUUAACGGGGCUAAGAUACAAACCGAAGCUUAGGCUGCACUUUUAGUGCGGGGUAGGGGAGCGUUGUGUAAGCGGAGAAACAGUAGCGGAAGCGGCUGUGGAGUUUACAGAAGUGAGAAUGCCGGAAUGAGUAGCGCGAAUGAUGUGAGAAUCAUCAUGGCCGGAAACCUCAGGUUUUUGGAGGAAGGUUCGUCCGCUCCAAGUUAGGCGGGAGCUAAGGUGAGGCCGAAAGGCGUAGCCGAUGCACAGACGGUAGAGAUUCCGUCCCCACCGAAAGAUUUAAGCACAGGGACACUUUUUGAAGGUCGGAGCCAGGUGUUGGUUCUGGUAGUGAUCGAGGGAAAUAUAGUACCGAAGUCCGGCUGGAGAAGAGGCGAGAAAAGCUGUGUGUAUAUCUAAGGUGCCCGUACCGCAAACCGACACAGGUAGGUAGGAAGAAGAUUCUAAGGCCAACGGGAGAAGGGUUGUUAAGGAACUCGGCAAGUUGACCCCGUAACUUCGGAAUAAGGGGUGCUCAUGAAAGUGAGCCGCAGAGAAUAGGCCCAGGCAACUGUUUACCAAAAACACAGGUUUGUGCUAAAUCGAAAGAUGACGUAUACGAGCUGACGCCUGCCCGGUGCUGGAAGGUUAAAAGGAGAUGUGCAAGCAUUGAAUUGAAGCCCCAGUGAACGGCGGCCGUAACUAUAACGGUCCUAAGGUAGCGAAAUUCCUUGUCAGGUAAGUUCUGACCCGCACGAAUGGCGUAACGAUCUGGGCACUGUCUCAACAGCCCGCCCGGCGAAAUUGUAGUACCGGUGAAGAUGCCGGUUACCCGCAACUAGACGGAAAGACCCCAUGGAGCUUUACUGCAGCUUAAUACUGAGAUUCGGUAAAUCAUGUACAGGAUAGGUGGGAGACUGAGAAGCCAGGCCGUCAGGUUUGGUGGAGUCGCCCUUGGGAUACCACCCUUGGUUUGCUGGGUUUCUAACCUGCGGCCCUGAAUCGGGUCGGGGGACACUGUUAGGCGGGCAGUUUGACUGGGGCGGUCGCCUCCUAAAAUGUAACGGAGGCGCUCAAAGGUUGGCUCAGCAUGGAUGGAAACCAUGCAAUGAGUGUAAACGUAUAAGCCAGCCUGACUGCGAGACCGACGGGUCGAGCAGAGACGAAAGUCGGAGUUAGUGAUCCGGUGGUAUGUGAGUGGAAAUGCCAUCGCUCAACGGAUAAAA
rnacentral:rRNA from 1 species